GACGAACGCUGGCGGCGUGCUUAACACAUGCAAGUCGAACGGUGAAGGGGUCUGCUUUUGUGGGCCCUGGAUGAGUGGCGAACGGGUGAGUAACACGUGAGUAACCUGCCCCCUUCUUCUGGAUAACCGCAUGAAAGUGUGGCUAAUACGGGAUAUUCUGGGUCUGUCGCAUGAUGGGUCUGGGCAAGAUUGCGCCUUUGGGUGUUUUUGGUGGGGGAUGGGCUCGCGGCCUAUCAGCUUGUUGGUGGGGUGAUGGCCUACCAAGGCGGUGACGGGUAGCCGGGCUGAGAGGGUGGACGGUCACACUGGGACUGAGACACGGCCCAGACUCCUACGGGAGGCAGCAGUGGGGAAUAUUGCACAAUGGGCGCAAGCCUGAUGCAGCGACGCCGCGUGAGGGAUGGAGGCCUUCGGGUUGUAAACCUCUUUCGCCAGUGAAGCAGGCCUGCUCCUUGUGGGUGGGUUGACGGUAGCUGGAGAAGAAGCGCCGGCUAACUACGUG
rnacentral:rRNA from 1 species